UUUGGGAAAAGGACCCCAGCUC
rnacentral:miRNA from 1 species